CCUACGGGAGGCAGCAGUGGGGAAUAUUGCACAAUGGGGGAAACCCUGAUGCAGCGACGCCGCGUGAGUGAGGAAGUAUUUCGGUAUGUAAAGCUCUAUCAGCAGGGAAGAAAAUGACGGUACCUGACUAAGAAGCCCCGGCUAACUACGUGCCAGCAGCCGCGGUAAUACGUAGGGGGCAAGCGUUAUCCGGAUUUACUGGGUGUAAAGGGAGCGUAGACGGUUAAUCAAGUCAGAAGUGAAAACGCAGGGCUCAACCUUGGGACUGCUUUUGAAACUGAGUAGCUAGAGUGCAGGAGAGGUAAGCGGAAUUCCUAGUGUAGCGGUGAAAUGCGUAGAUAUUAGGAGGAACACCAGUGGCGAAGGCGGCUUACUGGACUGUAACUGACGUUGAGGCUCGAAAGCGUGGGGAGCAAACAGGAUUAGAUACCCCAGUAGUC
rnacentral:rRNA from 1 species